rnacentral:rRNA from 1 species
UACGUAGGGAGCAAGCGUUGUCCGGAAUCAUUGGGCGUAAAGCGCGCGUAGGUGGCUUCGUAAGUCCGUUGUGAAAGCAAAGGCUCAACCUUUGAAAGCCGAUGGAUACUGCGGAGCUAGAGUACGGAAGAGGCGAGUGGAAUUCCUGGUGUAGCGGUGGAAUGCGCAGAUAUCAGGAGGAACACCAAUAGCGAAGGCAGCUCGCUGGGACGUUACUGACACUGAGGCGCGAAAGCGUGGGGGAGCGAACAGG